UACGGAGGGGACAAGCGUUAUUCGGAAUUAUUGGGCGUAAAGGGUGCGCAGGCGGUCUGUUAAGUGAGAAGUGAAAGCCCACGGCUUAACCGUGGAACGGCUUCUCAUACUGGCAGACUGGAGUAUGGGAGAGGGAAGUGGAAUUUCCGGUGUAGCGGUGAAAUGCGUAGAGAUCGGAAGGAACACCAGUGGCGAAGGCGGCUUCCUGGACCAUUACUGACGCUGAGGCACGAAAGCGUGGGGAGCAAACAGG
rnacentral:rRNA from 1 species